rnacentral:rRNA from 1 species
AGCAGCCGCGGUAAUUCCAGCUCCAAUAGCGUAUAUUAAAGUUGUUGCAGUUAAAAAGCUCGUAGUUGAAUUUCGGGAUCAAUACGUCGGUCGUGCUUCGGUACGUACUGGCGUCAUUGGUUUCUCCCUUCUGACGAACCAUGAUGUCAUUAACUUGGUGUCAUGGGAAAUCAGGACUGUUACUUUGAAAAAAAUUAGAGUGUUUAAAGCAGGCUCACGCUUGAAUACAUUAGCAUGGAAUAAUGAAAUAGGACGUUCGAUCCUAUUUUGUUGGUUUCUAGGAUCAACGUAAUGAUUAAUAGGGAUAGUUGGGGGCAUUAGUAUUCAAUUGUCAGAGGUGAAAUUCUUGGAUUUAUUGAAGACUAACUACUGCGAAAGCAUUUGCCAAGGAUGUUUUCAUUAAUCAAGAACGAAAGUUAGGGGAUCGAAGACGAUCAGAUACCGUCGUAG